rnacentral:rRNA from 1 species
GGGUCAGUAGGUUGGUCGUGCCACCGGUACGUACUGGUCUCACUGAUUCCUCCUUCCUGAAUAACCGUAAUGCCAUUAAUUUGGUGUUGCGGGGAAACAGGACUGUUACUUUGAAAAAAUUAGAGUGUUUAAAGCAAGCUAACGCUUGAAUACAUGAGCAUGGAAUAAUGAAAUAGGACGAUCGAUCCUAUUUUGUUGGUUUCUAGGAUUGACGUA